rnacentral:rRNA from 1 species
AAGUCAAGCUAAUAAGGGCAUACGGUGGAUGCCUUGGCGCCAAGAGCCGAUGAGGGACGCGGUAAGCUGCGAAAAGUCAUGGGGAGUCGCAAGCAGGCUUUGAUCCAUGAAUCUCCGAAUGGGGCACCCA